rnacentral:lncRNA from 1 species
UUCUUGCAGGUACUUUGAUGGGAGUGGUUGGUGGUGGUUGCGGCGGUGGCAGGGAGUUGGUGGCUGAAGACCAAGGGUGGUUGCGGCGCUAGGCUAGGGAGGGCUAGGGUUCUGAAACCCUAAAAAAAAUUUUUUGGGUUUGGGCUGAAGUUAGAUUAUUGGGCCUAUUUAGGUGAGUUUGGUUAUUUGGGUUUGUAGUGGUUUUGGGCCGGGCAAAAGAAUGGGCUUGUACAGCUGCCCCUCUUUGCUCGUUGUCGUGUAACGAGAAU